GAUGAACGCUGGCGGCGUGCUUAACACAUGCAAGUCGAACGGAAAGGCCCCUGCUUGCAGGGGUACUCGAGUGGCGAACGGGUGAGUAACACGUGGGUGAUCUGCCCUGCACUUCGGGAUAAGCCUGGGAAACUGGGUCUAAUACCGGAUAGGACCACAUUUUGGAUGGUGUGGUGGAAAGUUUUUCGGUGUGGGAUGAGCUCGCGGCCUAUCAGCUUGUUGGUGGGGUAAUGGCCUACCAAGGCGUCGACGGGUAGCCGGCCUGAGAGGGUGUACGGCCACAUUGGGACUGAGAUACGGCCCAGACUCCUACGGGAGGCAGCAGUGGGGAAUAUUGCACAAUGGGCGCAAGCCUGAUGCAGCGACGCCGCGUGGGGGAUGACGGCCUUCGGGUUGUAAACUCCUUUCGCUAGGGACGAAGCGUUUUUGUGACGGUACCUGGAGAAGAAGCACCGGCUAACUACGUG
rnacentral:rRNA from 1 species